rnacentral:rRNA from 1 species
UUACGACUACAUAUCAGGCAUAUCAAUAAGCGGAGGAAAAGAAACUAACAAGGAUUCCCUUAGUAACGGCGAGUGAAGCGGGAAGAGCUCAAAUUUGAAAUCUUCAAGGUUCUACCUUGACGAAUUGUAGUUUAAAGAAGUGUUUUCUGUUAGAUGAGUAGCAAAAGUUCCUUGGAAUGGGACAUCAUAGAGGGUGAGAAUCCCGUAUUUGGUUAUUCAUUCUAGCUUUGUGAUACACUUUCAAAGAGUCGGAUUGUUUGGGAAUGCAGUCCAAAAUGGGUGGUAAAUUUCAUCUAAAGCUAAAUAUUGGCGAAAGACCGAUAGCGAACAAGUACCGUGAGGGAAAGAUGAAAAGAACUUUGAAAAGAGAGUUAAACAGUACGUGAAAUUGUCAAAAGGGAAGCGUUUGACACCAGUGUUGUUUUUCCGAAAAUCAAUUACGAAUGGCUUGAUUUUGUGUUGUAUUGACCUUAUCAGCUUUCUUCACUUUUUUCGAGUCUUUCUUAAUGCACUUUUCGGUUAACAAGUCAACAUCAAUUUCUUUUGUUGUAAAAGAGUAUUCGGAAGGUGGCUUUCUUUUCGGAGAAAGUGUUUAUAGCCCUAUACUUCUACAAUCGGAGAGAUUGAGGUCUGCAGCGUAGAUCCUUCGGGGUUAGAUACACUUGUGCUAAGUUGUAGCUUUUCAUAGACAACUUGUUGACUAUGUUUAGUCAUGCGGCUUACUCGCUUGUGCUAUUUUACCUACGCUUAGGAUGUUGAGUAGCGACAUACGCAC